UUAUGUACCGAGACACAUUCAGUGUCUGACUGGUCUACAAGGGAUACUGAUCUUAGUGAUUAAGCGUACUGUAAGUACGUCAGUCUCUUGGCAAGCGGGGGCAACCUCGCUUUUUUUAUGGA
rnacentral:ncRNA from 1 species